UACGAAGGGGGCUAGCGUUGCUCGGAAUCACUGGGCGUAAAGAGCUCGUAGGCGGUCUGUCGCGUCGGCUGUGAAAACUCGGGGCUCAACCCCGAGCCUGCAGUCGAUACGGGCAGACUAGAGUGCUGUAGGGGAGACUGGAAUUCCUGGUGUAGCGGUGAAAUGCGUAGAUAUCUGGAGGAACACCGGUGGCGAAGGCGGCAUCCUGGACCAACACUGACGCUGAGGAGCGAAAGCCAGGGGAGCAAACGGG
rnacentral:rRNA from 1 species